CCUACGGGAGGCAGCAGUAAGGAAUAUUGGUCAAUGGAGGCAACUCUGAACCAGCCAUGCCGCGUGCAGGAAGAAGGCCCUAUGGGUCGUAAACUGCUUUUGUACCAGAGAAAACCCGAGUACGUGUACUCGGUUGAUAGUAUGGUAAGAAUAAGCAUCGGCUAACUUCGUGCCAGCAGCCGCGGUAAGACGAAGGAUGCAAGCGUUAUCCGGAUUCAUUGGGUUUAAAGGGUGCGUAGGCGGACUGAUAAGUCAGUGGUGAAAUCUCUCAGCUUAACUGAGAAACUGCCAUUGAUACUGUUAGUCUAGAGUAUAGAUGACGUUGGCGGAAUAUGACAUGUAGUGGUGAAAUACUUAGAUAUGUCAUAGAACACCGAUUGCGAAGGCAGCUAACGAAACUAUAAACUGACGCUGAGGCACGAAAGUGCGGGGAUCAAACAGGAUUAGAUACCCUAGGUAGUCCGCACCGUAAACGAUGAUUACUCGUUGUUGGCAAUAUGACCGUCAGCGACCAAGCGAAAGCGAUAAGAAUCCACCUGGGGAGUACGCCGGCAACGGUGAAACGUCGAAAGGAAUUAGACGG
rnacentral:rRNA from 1 species